rnacentral:rRNA from 1 species
GGCCCGCACAAGCGGUGGAGCAUGUGGUUUAAUUCGAUGAUACGCGAGGAACCUUACCAGGGCUUAAAUGUAGUCUGACAGCUUUAGAGAUAGAGUUUUCUUCGGACAGAUUACAAGGUGCUGCAUGGUUGUCGUCAGCUCGUGCCGUGAGGUGUCAGGUUAAGUCCUAUAACGAGCGCAACCCCUGUCGUUAGUUGCCAGCAUGUCAUGAUGGGGACUCUAACGAGACUGCCGGUGCAAACCGCGAGGAAGGUGGGGAUGACGUCAAAUCAUCACGGCCCUUACGUCCUGGGCCACACACGUGCUACAAUGGCCGGUACAGAGAGCAGCCACGUCGCAAGGCGGAGCGAAUCUAUAAAACCGGUCACAGUUCGGAUCGGAGUCUGCAACUCGACUCCGUGAAGCUGGA